rfam:Canis lupus familiaris chromosome 31, whole genome shotgun sequence.
GCCUGGCUGGCUCAAUCAGUGGAGCAUGUGAUUCUUGAUCUCAGGAUUGUGGGUUCAAAUCCCACAUUAGGUG